GCUAGUCGGAACGCACGUCAACGUUAGAUUGAAGAAGCUUGCUUCUGAUUGAUAACAUUUGAGUGAGUGGCGGACGGGUGAGUAACACGUGGGUAACCUGCCCUAAAGUGGGGGAUAACAUUUGGAAACAGAUGCUAAUACCGCAUAAAACCUAGCACCGCAUGGUGCAAGGUUGAAAGAUGGUUUCGGCUAUCACUUUAGGAUGGACCCGCGGUGCAUUAGUUAGUUGGUGAGGUAAAGGCUCACCAAGACCGUGAUGCAUAGCCGACCUGAGAGGGUAAUCGGCCACACUGGGACUGAGACACGGCCCAGACUCCUACGGGAGGCAGCAGUAGGGAAUCUUCCACAAUGGACGAAAGUCUGAUGGAGCAACGCCGCGUGAGUGAAGAAGGUUUUCGGAUCGUAAAACUCUGUUGUUGGAGAAGAACGUAUUUGAUAGUAACUGAUCAGGUAGUGACGGUAUCCAACCAGAAAGCCACGGCUAACUACGUGCCAGCAGCCGCGGUAAUACGUAGGUGGCAAGCGUUGUCCGGAUUUAUUGGGCGUAAAGCGAGCGCAGGCGGUUUCUUAAGUCUGAUGUGAAAGCCUUCGGCUCAACCGAAGAAGUGCAUCGGAAACUGGGAAACUUGAGUGCAGAAGAGGACAGUGGAACUCCAUGUGUAGCGGUGAAAUGCGUAGAUAUAUGGAAGAACACCAGUGGCGAAGGCGGCUGUCUGGUCUGUAACUGACGCUGAGGCUCGAAAGCAUGGGUAGCAAACAGGAUUAGAUACCCUGGUAGUCCAUGCCGUAAACGAUGAGUGCUAGGUGUUGGAGGGUUUCCGCCCUUCAGUGCCGCAGCUAACGCAUUAAGCACUCCGCCUGGGAGUACGACCGCAAGGUUGAAACUCAAAGGAUUGACGGGGGCCCGCACAAGCGGUGGAGCAUGUGGUUUAAUUUCGAAGCAACGCGAAGACCCUUACCAAGGUCUUGACA
rnacentral:rRNA from 1 species